ensembl:lncRNA
GUCUGCUCGGGCAACUUGAACAAAAGGAGAAACUCGGAUUAACUCUCCAUCUCUCCCUCGCCUCUCCCGGGUUAUCUCAUCUUCGGCAACUUUAUCCGGAGAGAUUUACUCAACUUUCUCCGAGCUCUCCCGCCGCUUAAAAGUAAAGAGCCCCGCCGUAGGCUUCGAAGGAAAUCUGGUUUCACAGUUUAGAGAAAGGAGAAGGUCAAAACAUGGUUGUCGGGAAAAUGGGAUGGUUGCCAGAACAUCAGUCUGUGAUGGGUGCCAUACUGCAUUACUCUUUGAAUGGUGGAAUACAUCUUGGGAUUCUUCAGGGGUGCUUAACGUGGUACAAAACCGUACAGCUGCUUAGCAUCUUAAAUGUUUGCAUUCGUACAUAAUUGUUAAUGGUCUCCUGGGGGAAGUGGAAGAGUCUCUCGAAGCUGAAACUUGUGGAUAUUGUAGAAAAUGCUGCUGAGACCAGUUGGAUUAUAUCAGAACCUGACAUCAGAGUUCUGCAGCUGAUGAAAGGAGUUCACCAGACUUUUUUGUUAUGUGGUUGAUGAAGCAUUAUCCUGGGACAAUAGUAAUGAUGGAUGGAUGAACGUACUUCAGAUGCUGUGUCUGCUCCAGGUGUAAACCGAACCACCAGAAGCGUGCAAAACCAAAGCUUUCUGAGCCCCGGUGUAGUUAUUCUGGACAAGUUUCCAGCACGUGUGGAGAACACUACACCGUACACACAUCAGGACUAUAAAAAAAACAGUCGCUUUAGUCACAGAGAAGCAUGA